UUUCACUACAUCUUCUAAAUACCACCUGCCCAUACAAUCAGUAUACAUAGUCGGUUUUCAAACAUGUUUUCAAAGCCUAACACGUAUUCCAAAUCAUUCUGACCUGAUAUCUACCAGAUAAAAGACGCCUACAAUCUUUAAAAGAACUGCAGGCAAUAAAUGAUCCCCGAACUACUUUAAACACGCCAUGACAUUAAGAACGUAGAUCGAGAGUAUUUCUGCCACAACGGUCAAUGUCAAGUUCACUGUACUCCUACUGAUGUGGGCAUAAAUCGAUGACACCCUCUGUACAUGUUACACAACGACAGUCAUGCUUAACCCUUACAUCGGUAAGAGCGACUUGUUCUAAAUCCAAGGUGACACUUCCCCUACCAUGUAAAUCUCCAUCCCUUCACAGCGUGCUAUCCACCACAAGAAAUAUUUGCUUCCCUAUGCUCAGGAAGACAAAGAAUUGGACAACCCAGAAUCAACACUGCAGCUGUUGAAGUUAUUGGAGACAAAAAUUAAGAUCGUGUCAAAAUCGAAGAAAGCAUUGCCAGAUUUAAUUACACGAAUGGAUGUAAGUGAAGGAUGCUGACUUGUCCUCAGGAAGGAACGAAGCACCCAGACUGGUGCUAAUAAAUGGCACUAACACAAGCAUCGCCAGCGCCUACAUUGUAGGAGACAACAUACAGAUGAAGGUCAGCAACAAUGUACAGGAGGCAAUGCUGACACUCAUGUUUUCCUACUACGCUUGGGAUCUAAGUUAUCCAAAACGUUUUCAACUACUUGGACUACUCCAAACUUAUGUUCUUGGAGACGGUACACCUUUAUUCAAGGGAUCAAACUACCAGAAGUUUGUGAAAGAACUGGAGGAUAGUUUAAGUCAGUAAACACUUUCCAGUGACAAUUACCAGUACCAACUGGCACCAGACAUGAACAAUAAGUCCAGUUUUUAUUGUGUUUACAGUAUUUUGCUAAUAUUUUACAACUUGAAAUGAUUAAAAAAAUUCAGUUUACAGUGAUCUUCAUUUUAUUUCAGUGCAUUAUGUUUGCAAAGAAAAUUUCCUGCACAGAACCGAUACAUAAUGGGUUAAGUUAAUGUCUUGCUAAAGACCAUAGGGAGGGGGGUUCUGCAUCAUUGUUUGGGUAGAUCUCAUAAUUUUGUAAAUAUGUUUUCUUAAAACUAUUUAAAGAAAGAUUGAUUUCCAUUUCUGACUUUGAUGCGGGUUGGACC